AAGACUAACGCGGUUCUUCUUCUUCUCGUGUGUUUAAUGGCGGUUGGCAAACCAGCGUAAGCUGCACUUCCGCCACCUACUGGGAUGAAGUGCUGUUUUCUAUUCUAUUAACGUUAUAUGCCUCACAUGUUCAACAGUUUCUGUUAUUCCUCAGUGAUUGCAGCAAUCUGACUCUCUUUAUCCUUUUAUUUGCAAUGAAUGAUUAAAGUUAGAGUGUCCUAUCUUGGUUAUAGCAGUAUCUUCUCUUCUGUUUCCAUAUAGCUUGGCUUUCUUUCAAUCCACAAAUGCAACCACCAGUGUUGUCAGAUUGGAAAUGUCAGAGUAUCGUACUAUAAGCUCAAAAUGUAUGUAUUUGGAAGAAAAUGACACGCAUAUUUAUCUACUAGACCGACAACGUUUUGACAGGACCUUCAAAUAACCACAACAAAUAACUAGGCCAGGGCCCUAUGAAAUCUGUUGUAUUAUUUCCCAAAUUCCGUUUUAUUGUACCUCUUUUACAAAUUCUGAGUUUUAGCAUGUCUGAUCAUUUGAAUGCAUAAAAAUUACUUUUACUGUAUUUGUGAGAUUGAAAAGCAGGACAUCUUGUGUCUGCUGUGCUUUACUGCGCUUGCUGUAUUUUUCCACAUUACUCAAUGGUCAUAACACAAAUAUAGCCUACCACUGCCAUGUUAGGAUAUUUUAGCUCUUGAUACAUUUUCUUAUUGCUCAAUAUUUCCCUUCUGCUUGACUCUAUACGCAUAACAUAACAAUAAAACUGAACUGC